rnacentral:sRNA from 1 species
AAAGGGGGAUGUCAGUUGCUCUGAAGUUAAAUUCCAGGAUUCUGUCACAUGCUGAUAUAGUGCCAAAGCAUAUGGAUCUCCAUAUGGUGCUGCUUUUGGGGUUUAUACCACCUGUAAUCUAGCUGAUUUUCAUUCAUUUAAAUUUGUCCAAGAGGGGGUCCUGAUGACAACUUAAUUGAAGGUGGAGGAACAAAAUUUGUCUGCAAACCUGGAGCCAGAAAUAUUACUGUCAUAUUCCACCCAUUACUAAGAUUUAUUCAGGAGAUUGAGCAUGCCCUGGGUCUUGGCCCAGCCAAACAGUGUCCUCUUCGAGAGUUUCUUACCGUGUACAUCAAAAACAUCUUUCUCAAUCAAGUCUUGGCUGAGAUCAACAAGGAGAUUGAAGGAGUCACUAAAACAUCUGACCCUUUGAAGAUUCUGGCCAACGCAGACACCAUGAAGGUGCUGGGAGUGCAGCGGCCUCUCCUACAGAGCACAAUCAUUGUGGAGAAGACGGUGCAAGAUCUCCUGAACCUGAUGCAUGACUUGAGUGCAUAUUCAGAUCAAUUCCUCAACAUGG